CACCCCGUGGGCCGUACGCCGAGCUGCUUGCCGAGCAGCGCGAGGAAGAUACUGGCCUUCUGGGUGCCGAAGCCCGGCAGCGCGU
rnacentral:tRNA from 1 species